rnacentral:lncRNA from 1 species
UUCUUCUAUAUGAAUAUAUAGUAAAUACACGCAAAAAUUUUAAAUUUUUAUAAAUAAAUAGCUGAUUGACAUCAUGUUUCUUAAACAAAAGAAUCGAUCGUACUCUUUUAGCAUUGUUAAGAAUUUCUUGUGGUGCAACAUCUAAAUUCAAUGCUACAUGAUGGGUUUUCUCAUCAAUAUUUGGUGUAUUAAAAUUUACUAGCUGAAUCCUCUUCUCAUCCACUCUAGUUGCGAGAUUGUGCAUUAAAUCAUGCAUUUUACAGCUUUCGACAUUUCCACAUCUAUCUCUUUUCACCUCUUGAAAAAAUGACCUCCACCACAGUUUCAUAAAAUAUUCAAGCCCAAUAUCUUCAAGACAAUCACUGGUACCUGGUGACUCAAUAAACCCUUGUGCAACCCAAAAAUGGAUUAAUGUUUUCACAUCAAUCACAUAAUCUUUUGGAUAUAUUGCGCAAUAUGCAAAACAAUGCUUCAAAUGUGAUGGGAGAUGAUCAUAGCUUAGUUUCAGUGUUGGCAUAAUAUCAUUACCAUCUUGACUUAUUCUUGAGAGUUCUUUUCUCAAAAAGGGCAGCCACUCAGUUUCUGGAUUUUUCGCAUACAAGAGACUUGCGAUAGUUUUUAUUGCAAGAGGAACUCCAUGACAUUUCUUCAGAAUCUCCUUUCCCUUCUCUCUUACAUUUGCAUGUUUUGGCUCCUGCCCCUCAAGUGCUACAUGCAAAAACAAAGACCAAGACUCCACCACAGAUAAGCCUUCCAAAACAUGUGGUGCUAUUGUGCCAGAUAUAUCUGCCACCUUUUUAGAGCGAGUGGUUAUUAAUAUCUUACUUCCACUAGAGCCACCCACUAAUAAUCUCUUUAAAUUCUGCCAUGUUUUUCUAUUCUCAUUCCACACAUCAUCUAGAACAAGCAGAUAUUUCUUCCCACAAAUAAUUUUUUCCAGUCUAGACUUCAAUGCUUCUAACUCAAGAUCUUCCGAUUUAUUCCCUGUUGCAGACUCUAGAAUCUUUCCAACAGUCAUUUUCACAUCAAAAGGUUCUGAAACACACACCCAUAUUCUUGGCUCAAAUGAAUUCUUAAUCAAUUCAUCAUUCAAUAUGAUUUGAGCAAGAGUGGUCUUCCCUAAUCCUCCAAUUCCAACAAUUGAGAGGACUGAAACACACUCUUCACCAUUGGAAGACAAUACAAGUUCUGUAAUUGCCUUUUUGUCACCCUCUCUCCCAAUAAUCACUUCAGGUAAAGAGGACGUAGUUUGAUCCCUCCAUACAAUACUCUCCUGAUCAGUACGAACCUCUAAAUUAAAUUUUCUGUCAGCUUCAAUAUCAGCUAGCCUCUCCCUAAUCGCCUUAACUUUAUGACCCAUUUUAAAACCAUAAACAAGUUGAUUUGAAGAUGAAAAGAAGAGACUUACCUCCUUUGUCAUUCUAUUUCCAGUCAUCACUCGGCGCCUUAGAGCUUCUGUGGCGAAGUCAUCUACCAAGUCAUCAGCAUCAUAAACAACUUCUUCUAGCCUCUCAAGCCAGCCUUUCACUUGACGGUUAAGUUUCUGCUGCUCCUCGGCAUCCAGAAGAACAUUGCGAAUACUAGAAACUGUGGCCUCAAGUUUCUUAAGCUCACCUUUGACGCCCCACCACAAUCCGAUCUCAUGAAGGGCUCGAGAACCCAGCUUGGUAAUGAUAUCUCCGACAACAUUAGAGAGAACUCCGUCGGCCAUUUUGGGUGUUUUGGUUUGAUUGUAAAAGCACGAAAUGUUGCUGUGAAGAAGAAGAUGGUGACAACAAAUGACUAAUUUAAAGAAAAAAAAAAGUGAAGGAAAAAGCAUUCUUCAUAAUUAUCUUCGGUCGGUCAGCUUUUGCGGGCGCUGGUUUGCUUUAAUUUAAAAAGUAAAAUAUAUUAAUAAAUUUAUAUAUAGAAUGAAAGUAAGUUAUUUUUUUUUAAAUAAUUUUAUUUUUUUUAUUAAAAAAAUAAUUUUUAUUAAAUAAAUUUUAUGAGUGAUUCAAAUAGUUAAAAAAUAUAAAAUAUGUUUUUGAUGUUACUGAAUUUUGGUUAUUGAAAGGAAAGUAUUUUUAUAUACUUGUGUGAUGAUGUGUAGAAUUAUAUUAGGUGUAACAUAACAUAUAAUAGAUUUGUUAUGAGUUUUAAGGAUUUUAAAUCGAUUUGAAUUCUAAUACUGUAGCGAUUCGAUUUCUGAAUCGUUACGGGAACAAUGAAUUGAUUUUAUUUUUUGGGUAGCAAAAGCUUAAGAGUAUUCUGUUGCAUAUUAUAGAUCCAUCGAUGUAAGAGAUGUUGCUUAUGCAUACAUUCAAGCUUUGGAGAUUCCUUCAGCUAGUGGCAGAUAUUGUUUCAUUAAAAGAGAUGUCCACUUCUCUGAGGUUCUGAAGAUUGUGUCAGCAACAUUAUCCUACAUUGCACCUUCCAAAAAAGUAUGGUUUUUUUUUUAUAUAUUUUUGCAUGCUCAUGUUGGACCAGCUAUAUAAAUGACUAAGAUUUAUAAUUAUUUGGAUAAUUGAGAAAUAGUUGUUUUGAAUGAUUAAUUUGAUCAUGGAAUAUAAUAUGAGUUGCAGAUGUGGCUCUGGAUUGAAUUACUUAACAAAGUAUGAGGUAUCAAAGGAAAAAGCGAAAACUUUGGAUAUUGACUUCAUUCCUUUGGAGGUUAGUUUCAAGGACACUAUUGAAAGCUUGAAAGAGAAGGGUUUCCUCAGCAUUUGAUUUUGGCUGUUGGAUAAAAAGCAAUGCAAAUAUUACAUUGGCCUUUCAGGUUCAUUGGUUUUAGCUUCCUAUUGGUGCAAGAUAUUAUUGCCCUUCAGGAUUGUCUUUAUUUGAAAAGAGUGGACCAAUACAAUUUAUAAAAUAUAUAACAAUUUGUACAGAACUGUGUAUAAACAUUUUACAUGUGUCACUUGUUUCACUGGUAGAUGAAGUUCAUUUCAGGUCUGAUUUAUGAGGAAGUUACAAUUUUUUUUUUUUUAUCUGAUUCCAUGUCUCAUUCCAAAGAAUAAGACACAAGAAAAAGAAAAUAUAUAAUCCACCAAUUCUGAUUUCGUUCAGUCUUUUUAAAGUAUAUUCAGAUUUCAUAGCCAAUUCAUUUUAUGUUGUAUCUGAUUCAGGGUAUUAAAUAACGGCCGUUACGUAACGUAACGGCCGUUAUGUAACGGUAUCAAGGGGGGUCGUUACCCGUUAGGCCGUUACCCAACGGCCCCCUUGAAUUGCAUCCGUUACGGCCGUUACGUAACGGUAACGGCCGUUACCGACAGUGAUGUAACGGUAACGGCCGUUACUUUAUCCCAACACAAACUUCAGAUUACAGAGAAUAUAUUCAAAAACCAGCUAUGCAUUGAAUUUGACCACUUUUGUCCCUCUUCUCCAGCAAGCACAGCAGACAACCUCAUUUUGCAACUAAAAUUUCCAACUUUCUUUUCCUUUUCUCUCAAAUAUCUCAAUCUCAAGCUUCUCUAAACAUUUCUCAUUUACAAUUACAAGCUUCAAUCUACCAUUAACUACUUCAUUUCAAGAUAAUUUCUUUUAAAAAGUGACUUAAUAUUUCUAUGUAUUUUUACUUUCAAAGUUGCUGUAUUUUUUUUUUUAAUUUUUGUAGAUUAAAUUUGUAGUUUUGAGUUAAAAAUAUAUUUUGAGCUAUUAAUUUGUCCGAUCUAUAAAAAUUGUAUGGUUUUUGUUAGUUUAGACUAUUUUUCAGAAAUCAUUAUGAAAUUAAACUAAUUUUAGUUGCUGUAUUUUUUUUGUUUCAUUUUUGUGGAUUAAAGUGUUAGAUUUGAGUUAAAUUAAUAGUGUAUUUUUACUUUCAGAAUUUUAGAGGAAUCAGAGCUGCUGUAUUUUUUUUUUUAACUUUUGUAGAUUAAAUUUGUAGUUUUGAGUUAAAAAUAUACUUUGAGGCUAUUAAUUUGUUAGAUCUAUAAAUUGUAUGGUUUUUGUUAGUUUAGUUUAGACUAUUUUUCAGAAAUUAUUAUGAAAUUAAAUUAUUUUUAGUUGCUGUAUUUAUUUUUUUUUAAUUUUUGUGGAUUAAAGUGUUAGUUUUGAGUUAAAUUAAUAGUGAUAGAAUAAGACUUGUAGUUUGACAAUUAAAAUUUCAUAUUUAUAUAAUUUGUGUUAAAUAGAAAUUAAUAUAUGUAGUUAGGUUAAAAUUAAAAUAUUAGUUAUGAAAAAAAUAUUCGCCUUCCAUGUAUUUGACAUUUGAUAUCUUUUAAAUUUUAUGAACAAUUAUUAAAUAUUUGUAUUAAAAUGCCUCAUGGAAGUGGUUCUGGUUCUACUCAAGGGGUGGUAAACUAAGUGAUGAUAUUGGGUGGAAGUUUGCAACACCUACAGGGAAAAAAAGGAGAACUGAUUUGUAAUUUAUGUGGGAGAAAAGUCACAGAUGGAAUAACAAGAUUGAAGUUGCACUUGGCUAACAUACCUGGUCAAAUUGCAGGUUGUGAGAAAGUUUCUUCCAAAGUUAAGAAGGAUAUGGCCGCUGUCCUGAAAGAAUACCAAUUAGCUAAAAAGGAUAAAGAAAAAAGAGAAAGAGAAUUAGAAGAAGAAAUUAUGAAUAUAAAUAGAAUCGAAGAUGAUGAAGAGGAGGAGGAGGAAGAGGAUAUCGAAAUGGAAAUAGCGAGACGGGCGAGCAUGAGACAGUUGGAAGAAGAUGAAUUUAAAAGGAGAACUGGAUCUAGAUUUGAUGUUGGUGGUAGUAGCAGACAAGUGUUGGGUCGUUCUGCUACUACACGUGAGGGAGGUAGAGAAACACAAAAAUAUGCAGAAGUAUCUACACCGGCAUCUCGGUUGGCUGCCACAGAAAUUGAGAUAGAGAGAAGCAGAGCUCAACAAAAGCAGCCAAAAUAAAAAACUAAAUGGUUGAAGACACAGAAGGAGAAAAUGUUGUAAGCAUUUGGAAAUUUUAUUAUACAUAAUAGGCUUUCCUUCAGUAUUGUUGAGUCACCGUGAACAAAGCCACUUUUAAGAACAGCAGCAGAAAUCGGGGCUAAUGUAUCUCCACCUACUGCUUAUGAAAUAGCAAAAAUUUAUCUAAAAAAUGAGUACAAUGAGAUGAAAAAAUAUAUAGCCUCAUUUGAUGGAAUAUGGAAGGAGAGGGGAGUUACUAUAAUGUGUGAUGGUUAGAGUGGGCCAACACGUAUGAGUAUAGUAAAUUUCCAUGUCUAUUCAAACAGAGGAACAGUGUUCCACAAGUCUAUUGAUGCAUCCAAUGUGGAAUAUAAAGAUGGAGAACACUAUUUUAAAAUUAUGAAAGAAGUAGUGGAAGAAAUAGGGCCUAAAAAAGUUGUCCAAGUGGUAAUGGACAACGAAGCUGCCAUUAAAUUAGGAGGGAAGAAACUGAAGGAGAAAUUCCCUAAUCUAUAUUGGACUGCUUAUAGUGCUCAUUGUAUUGAUUUGAUUUUGGAAGAUAUUGGAAAGAAGAAGAGUGUGAAAAAAAUAAUUGACCAAGCCAAGGUAAUUACUCAAUUUAUUUAUAAUCAUAAUUGGGUAGUCAAUUAUAUGAAGAAAUUCACGGACAAUAGAGAUAUUAUUCGACCUGGCAUCACUAGAUUUGCCACAAACUUUAUUGCUUUAGAGUCUAUUGUCCGUUAUAGGGUGAGGCUAAGGAAUAUGUUCGAAUCGGAGCAAUGGAUGAUGAGUAAAUAUGGACAAGCAACAAGUGGUCCAGCGCAUGAAGUCAAGAAAAUUGUGCUUGGCUUAGGCAGCGAAGGAAGAAACUUUUGGGAGAAGGCACAACAAAUAAUGAAAGUUCAAGAACCUCUCUUGAAGGUUUUAAGAUUAUUUGGUGGGGAUGACAAGCUAACAAUGAGAUUUAUAUAUGAGGCAAUGGAGCGAGCGAAGUUGGCUAUUCAAAAAAAUUCUAGAAGCUAUUUGGAAUAUUGGAGAAUAAUUGAUCAUAGAUAAAAUUUUCAAUUGCAUCAUGACUUACAUGCCGCUGGUAAGAACAUUGUAUUAUAAUUUGAUAGUUUAGAAAAUUAAAUUGUUAAAUUAAGAGAUAACUUAUUAUCUAUCUUCAUAUUUUAUUUUGCAGGAUAUUUUCUAAAUCCUUAAUAUCAAUAUGGCCCAUAUGAUAUUGGAAAUGAUAAUGAGAUCGUCUCAAAAAUGUGAUUCAACAUCUAGAGGGGGAUUUAGUAAAUCAAGGAAAAACAUUAAAUAAAGUAAGUAACAACUAACAAGCUAAUUCUUAAUUGUUACUAUGUUAGUGUAGUUGAAGGCUUGAAGCUUGAAUUGUUGCUUUUGAACUUGAAGUUAACUUACUGGAAUUUGGAACAUGUAGACCCUACUUUUUCGGGACAAAAUAGAGAGUUUUGGAACAGUUUUGGCACAAAAGGCAAUUAAGUUCACUAAUCCAGGUACUAAGUUUAUAAAAUAAGUAUAAAUUAUUUUUGUUCAUUCAUUUAUAUACAGCUAAGUUCAUUAAAAUAAUAAAAACUUAAAAUAUUUUACAGCUGAGUGGUGGAUUAAUUAUAGAGAAAGUGCUCCUGAGUUGAGAAAAAUCGCUAUUAAAAUACUGAGCCAAACAACUUCAGCUUCAAACUGCGAGAGAAAUUGGAGCACAUUUUCUCACAUUCACACAAAGACAAGAAACAGAUUGAAGUAUAAAAAAUUACAUGCACUUGUCUUUGUGCACUACAACAUGAGGCUGAAAAUCAGAAAUGUGAUAAGAAAAAGCCAACAGGAGUUAGACAGGAGCUACGAUCCAAUUAAUUUGGAUUAUAUUUUUAAAGAAGAUGAUCCGUUAAACUCUUGGUUGGAGGAAAGAGAAUCUCCAUUGUUUGAUGGGCAACCAAUGUAACAGCCCGAAAACCGGUACCCCUUUGUAACGGCUCCAAACUGCUCGGCGCUAGGAUCCAGAUCGGCUUAAGGCCGCGGGACCCGUAGCAAGCCUGCUAAACUCUCUAAACAUCUGGUAUAAUCCCAUACAUGAUCAACCUAUUACUUUUCAGGCUUAACCUGAGCAAGAUCUGUAACUGAAAACUUGUCUUUUCUCUUUACCAAGCUUAACUCGUGCAUGCACUUACUACUAACUUAACCCCACUCUGGAGUCUACAAGGGCUGCUCCAAUGGAGUAACAUCUCAUUCAUUAAGCUUGGUUACCAUGAAAACGUCUUGAAAACAUUUCAAGCAAAAUGAAAACAUUUAUCUUAAAAAACUCAUGAUCAUGUACCACAUGAAGGGAUUAACCAACACUAGGCAAAGCACAUCUCUAAACCUUAUCUCAUAUACCUUUCUUAACUUUACUCUAUCACUUUACCACAUAUUCUUUCCAUUCAUAACCUUUAUAUACAUCAUGUCCUUACAUCAUGUCCACAACUGCACUAUAUAAGCAUAUAAAACAUAACAUCACUUAAUCUUUAUAUCAAUCUUGCAUAACAUAUACAUGCCACUCAAACAACACUAAGCUAUACUAUUACAUCCAAAACACUAGCCACAACAUAACUCUUGACUCUGCCACCUCUGACUUCCCAUAGCUCACUCUGAUCAAACUCUGGCCCUGCAACACUGGGGUUAAGGGAAAGGGAUGAGCUACUAGAGCCCAGUGAGUAGAAACCAUAAAACAGUUCAUUCAUUCAUUACAUGCUCUCGUGCAAUGCGUCACAGCACAAACAUAUCAUAUCUCGGAUUAGACAUGACCCCAGACACUACAAAAAUCUGUUGGAAUAGUAACGGAUAUUAGUAACGGAUUUAAAUCCGUUAUAAUUUUAUAACGGAUUAGUAACGAAUUUUAUAUUCUGUUACUAAUUUUUAUUAUUUAGUAACGGAUUGACAAUCCAUUACUAAAUCUGUUACUUAAUAAAAUUAUUUAUAAAUUUAAUAACGGAUUUUGAGAUCCGUUAUAAAUCUAUUACUAAAUUAGCUAAAAGUUAGUAACGGAUCUCAAUCCGUUAAUAAAUUUGUUACUAAAUCGGUUACUAAAUAAAUAAAUUAAAUAAAUAAAAUAGUAACGGAUUUAAUAACGGAAUGUUGUAACGGAUUUAAUCUGUUACUAUUUUUUUAAUAAAAAAAUUAAUUUUUUAUUUUUUAAAAUUUCAAAUUUUCUUUUUAAGUUAGUAACGGAUAUAAUCUGUCACUAAAUCCGUUACUGAUACGAAAAUUAGUAACAAAUUCUAUAAUCCGUUACUAAAUUUUAGAAAAUAAAAUACCGCGCUUUUAUUUUAAAUUCCUGCAUUUUUAUUUCUAAUUUAGUAACGGAAAAAAUCUGUUACUGAGUUCAUUACUAAUUUAAAAUUAGUAACGGAUUAAGAAAUCCGUUACUAAAAUUUGAAGAAUAAUACCGCCUUUUUAUUUUAGUUCGCCCGCAUUUUUUUUUUAAAUUUAGUAACGGAUUUAAUCCGUUACUAAAUCCGUUACUAAUUCGCGUAUUUAUACACUCACCCAUUUUAUCUCCCUUCACUUAUUCAUUUUCUUUCUCCCCAUUUUAUUUCCCUUCAUUUCAUUCAUCUUCUUUCUCCUCUUCUCUCAUCAUUUCUUCAUUUCUCCCUUAUCUUAUUUUUUUCUUAAUUAUUAACUCCAUUUUUUUUUCAUUUUCUUUCAUUUCCUUCAAUUUUCUCUUUAAUUUUCUUUCAUUUCCUUCAAUUUUCUCUUCAAUAUUCUUUCAUUAUUGAUCUUCCUUUUAUCACUUGAUUUUUGUUUUAUUUUCUCUCAUAUUUUUUCUUUCAUUUUUUUCUAUUUUCUUUCAUUUUCUUCUAUUUUCUUUCAUUUUCUCUUCCACUUUCUAUCAUUUUCCCUUCCUUUUUCUUUCAUUAUUCAUUCAUUUAUUUUCUUUUCUCUCAUAUAUAUACUCUAACCUUUUUUUUACAUUCUUUUGUAUAUCUUCAUUUUCUCUUUAUUUUUCUUCAUUUUUUCUUCAUCUUUCUCUCAUUUUCUUUCUUUUUUCUAUUUUUUCUUCCUUUUUUCUCAUUUUCUUUAAUUUUCCCUUUUUUCUUAUUUGCUCUUCAUUUUUAUCAUUAUUUUCUUUUAUUUUCUUUCUUUUGUUAUUUUCUCUUUUAUAUCUCAUUUUUUUUUCUAUUCUCUCACAUUUUUUCUUUUUUAAAUUUUCUCAUGUAAUUUUAUAAUAAUUUUCUCAUAAAAUUAAUAAAAUUUAAAAUAUUAAAGUUAAUAUUUAAUAUAAAAUACAAUGAAAAAAUUAAUAGUUUACCAUAAUUAAAUUAUUAUCUAAUGUAAAAUAUAAUGAAAUAAAUUAAUUCCAUUUAAAAAAAAUGAAAUAAAUUAAUAAUUUAAUAUAAUUUUUAAAAUAUUUUUUAAAAUUAACAAUAGAUUUAAUAACGAAAUAUAAAUUUAAUAUAUUUUUUUUAUUUUUUAUUUUAUCAAAUUAGUAACGGAUUAGUAACGGAUUUCUAUCCGUUACUAAAUUUAGUAACGGAUGCAAUUUAUUUAUAUAUUUUUAAUUUUUAUUAAAUUAGUAACGGAUUUGAAAUCCGUUACUAAAUUUCAUUACAAAUCCGUUACUAAAUUCGUUACUAAAUUAGUAACAGAUUGCUAAUCGGUUACUAUUGCAUUAGCAACGAGGUUCAUAGUAACGGAUGUAAAUACGUUACUAAUCUGUUACUAAACUGGUUAGUAACGGAUUUUUCAUUGAUUAGUAACGGAAAAAUCCGUUACUAAUCCGGAAAAAUCUUAUAGUGAGAACUCCCUCUGUCGGUGACCGGCCCCUAAGGAACAUCUCGGUCACUACAUGUACUAGAGCCCGGCCCCUACUACGGAGCUCCCAAAGGUCUUAUCUAGACAUAACAGGUCGCGGGCUACUGGGAUCGCCUUGGUCCAUCCCAUCAACAGUAAAAUAGUGCAAUGCAACAUAGUCGUGAUCUCUAAUGCAAUACAACCUGGUAUCACAUGGCAUUCAUGAUGCGUGUCUCAUGCUCAUACUGUCAUUUCCUUUAAAUAUUAACUUUAAAACAUGCAUAGUUAGUUCUACUCACCUGAAGCCUCUGCUCAGCUAACUCUGGGCCUACUCUAACACUGGAGCUAAACACCUCGCCUCAGGUCCGAUCCUACACAGGUGGUCUCACAUGAGGUGCCAAACAACUCUAAAACAUCUCCCCAAAACCCCUCUAAAGCAUCAUAAGCAUGCAUGGAAAAACAUGCAAAGGAAGGCAAAACAGGGCACCUUCGGCGGCACUUUCGGCGGCCGAAAGUCUCCUCCAGAGACGAAACUCGGGUAGGUUCGGCGGCACCUUCGGCGGCCGAAUGUGCAUGACAGAUCCGAAAGUCCAACUUCCGGAGGCAAGGUUAGGCAGCCGAAACCACCUCCUCAAGGGUUCGGCGGCCGAAACUCCUUUCGGCGGCCGAACCUGAGUUCCUCUAGAACUCAAAUUCAUGCACCAACACACCUCCCUAAGCCUUCCUAACUCUCUUAACAUGCAUACAACCUCUUAAAACCAUGCAUAAACCUCUAAACAUGCAUAAAGGAGCCUAAAACAACCUUAAACUCUAACACUUAACAACAUAUAACACAUAAACACAUACAUAGGCAUAAAGGGCUAUAAAACCCUCCCAUGCAAAACCAUGCAACACAUGCUUCAAAACCCCCAAAACUCUCCAUAAAACUUGCUUAAAACAUCAUAAAACAUAAGGAUCAACACUUACCUCUUGAAGAACUAGAGUUGGUGUGAUCCUAGCUUCAAAACGUGGAGAUACCAAGCUUCUAAAGCUUCAAACUCCAAAACCUUGCUCAAAGCUCACAACUCUUCAAAACAAGGAUAAAAGUCAUGAAAACCUUGAAAGAACUUGUAAAAAACCAUGAAAUCAUACCAAGGAGGACAUGAGCUCACCUUGGGUGGGAAGAGGAAGAAAACUCACCUCUUGAACCGACCUAAGUGGCUUAUAUAGGUGGCUUGGUCAACCACUUUCGGCAGCCAAACAUGCAGGCAAAACCUUCCUACGUUCAGAAGCCGAACAUGGCUUUCGGAAGCCAAAACCAUGCAACCUUCGGCGGCCGAACUUUACCUUCGGCGGCCGAACCUGCAUUUUGCCUCCUUGACCUUUUCUCUCAAAACUCAAAACCUUUUAACUUAAAACCAUCAAAACCCUUAAAACCUUUUUGAAAACCUUUUAGAAAACCUUUAUUUUACCCUUGCUUAACCCUUGACAAAGGGUCCGACAUCCGAGAUUCCACCGGACGGUAGGAAUUCCGAUGCCUGAACGAGCCGGGUAUUACAACCAAAUCCAUGGUUAGAUGAUGAAGAGGCGGGUAAUGCUCCAUCACAGUCUGAAUCUGCCACUCAAACUCAAGGACAACAAGGUGCUGCUGGUGAUGAUGAUUCUUUUAUUUUAUCCAGCUCUAGUAGUGAUGAUGAUGGUGGUGGUGGUGAUCAAGGUGGAGGAGGAACCACAGUUGAAGGAGGUGGUAGUCGUAGUUCACAAGAUCCACCUAGUCAAAGACAAAGUGGAAUUAGAAUUGCUUCUGAACCAUCUCCGAUGCGUACAUAUCAAAGAUCACAAGGCUCUCAUAGUUCUGGUACUGGUGGUGCUGAAACAUCCCAAACAAGAGGUAAGGAUGUUGCAUAUGAGGAGGAGGGGUCAAUUGAUUCAUUAAAUUAUGAAUACAAUGCUGGCACAUAUAAUCCAAAUUUUAUGUAUGGUGGUGGACGUGGACCUGGUGGUAGCUCAUCAUCUGAAGAUACUUCAUCAAAUUAUGGGUUCCAUGGCCAAUUUAGAGGGGUGCCAUAUCCAACAAAUUAUCCUCCUGCAUAUUCAUAUUACCCCUUAUCAAGAGCAGAGUCAGCUUUAUCAUACCCUCAACCAACUUAUGGUGAUCCUAAUGAUAUUAUGGGUGGUGGUUCUUUAUUUAGUUUUGAUCCACAAUAAUACUAUCAACAUCAGCAGCAUCACCUUAAUGAUCAAAGCUCAGAGAGCCAAAGUCAAGACCAACAAGAACCUGCACAAUGUUCUUUUUGGUGGUAGUGAGGUUGGUAAUUUCCUAUUUGGUAUUUAAUUUAAGCUAAAUAGUAUACAUUUGAUAUAUUUAUGUUUAUUAUAUAUUUGUAUAUAUUGUUCUGAAUUAAAUCUAUUGAUAUCAUAUCAUUUUAUGAACUUUGCAAAUUGAUUUGAAAAAUUUGCGUAGCGCCAGGCCGUUACCAUUAUGUUACGGCUGUUACAGACCUAUUUCCGUUACCCGCGACCGCGGCCGCGAUCACCAUUUAAAACCAUGAUCUGAUUUCUGGUUCUUGUUAUAUGCUCUUACAAAAUUCAUCUAAAAUUCAGUGCUCUUACACAUUCUAGAAACACAAUUUAUACAAAAACUGAUUCUCAGGAAAAAAGGGAAAAUAAUGUUAUUUGCAUUGAAUGAACAAAUGAUUAGCUUAGUAGCAAAACUACUUAAAAUCAGAGAAAUUAGAAAUAAAAAAGCAGCACAACAUGAGUCUGGGCAUUGCAUGUUGCAUGAUCGAAACAGAGGUCUUGAGCGAGAAUCUAGAUCCUGAAAUACGCAGGCCUGCAAAAAGUCAUUCGAAGAAGUGUGCAAAACUCCCAUCAUUAAGCUUUCAUUUCUGCUUCCCGCUCAGCAGGAUUACUAUGUACUGAGUUGUUUUCUGAACUGUGACAGAUAGGAAACUUGUCCCGGUGAGUUUUUAUUCCGGGAUGUCAAGGGCACAAUGCGCAGCUUAGUGAAUCUCCAUCAUCUUUGCCACAGGUGUAAGUUAUGAAGAUAGUUGCUAGAUGGAGGAUUUUCACACUAGUGAUUUAGCAUCUGUUUCAAGCCAGAAUCAUCAUUAAAUCACAGAUUUGCUUUACAAGCAAUAACUAGGGGGAUUUCAUAUUACAAGUAGAGUCUUUAUAACCUACUGAAUCGCUUAUUUGCGAAGACAGAAGAAAAGGAGAGCUCACGUUUUGUUUUUACUGCACAAAUACUGCAUAUGGAAUCUGAGUGAGAAGUUACUCCCUAAAAAUUUCAAAAGUGUUUUUGAGAGGUACCUUUGCGCGAAUCUUCUGGCAACAGACUCAAAGAAGUCAUCCAAUAAGUAGAAAUUCAUCUAUGGAAGGCCACACACAUGAAUAGCAGUUCUUUCAAGGCGAAUUAUGCCAAGCCAAUCAAGGAAUUGCUGCCAUGGCAUGUAGUUGUGUUUUCUUAAAGUGUUCGAGUAACUUCUGCACAAGGAAUCAAAUUAAUCUUUAAAUCCGUGAAAUUAAAAAGGAUGCAGAAUUACAAAACUAAUAAUAAGAACAAUAAUAAUAAGAUGGAUAGAAGCAUGACCAGCCAAUGCAUGAUUUCGGCAAGCCUUUGCUUUGGUUCACCACUUCCCAAUGUAGUAAGAAUUUCAACAGCAUCCCAGAAUUUCAAUAGCAUCCCAAUGAUAACUCAUACUUAAUGAGCCUUGAUGGAGAAAUGAAAGUCCAGUUAAAAUUAUUCAAAAUGCAUAUCCACUCGCCAAGAACAUAUGCACCCAGAAAUCUCCUUAAAUAAAUAAGGUUUUAACAAGGUGAAUGCUUUGCUUUUUUCUUUUUUUUUGGGAAGAACUUCAAAGUAAACAAAGGUAAGACUAUUGGGUUUCGAUGUUUACCUUGUGUGGGAGAAAUAUAAUGUUUACACAGAAAUCACAUUUUGUUUUCAGAAUAAAUGGAUUUUUCCACCUCUGCAUUUGACAUUGAAAAAACUUGAAUAAAUACCAAAUAAUUAAGAAAUGCUGCUGAUUUAAUUUACAAAGGAAUGGUGCCUGUGAAGAGAAAUUGACAUAUGGCAAUCACCUUCAGCACAAUCAAUUCUCAUCCUAAGUUAGAAGACUAAUCAAACUAAUUGCAGCAAUAACAUCUUUUCCACGACGUCUACUAACUUCUGCACAUAGAGUCAAAAUUAAUCCGUUAUAUCCAUGAAAAGAAUGAAGGCAGAAUUACAUUAAAAAAUGAAUAAAAAUGAUGGUUAAAAGAAUGACCUGCCAAUGCAUUUAAAAUCUCUUUGAAUUUGUUUCCCACAUCCCAAUUUAUUAGAAUUUCAGGUGAGUAAAAAAGAAAUAAAUGAUUCCUCUAGCUCGAUGAGCCUGUACAUGUGGGAAAAAAGUGUUAAAAUAUUAUCAUAAAGCAAAUAAAUUCUCAAUUAUAAAAAAAAAAAAUAAAAGAAAAAAAAGGUACUCUGUAUAUUGAUCUUGAUUGUAAAGAAAUAAUGACAAAAGGAUACUUACGAACUCAAAGGUAAUACACUGCUCAUUUUGGAAGAAACACAUCCAACACUUCAAAACUUAUCCUUCAUUGAUCUGUGUAAAUAGAAUCAUAGAGUGAAGAUUUUCUCAUGUAAGUUUAAUUUGCAAAUUGGACAGAAAAAGGACCAACUUACCGAAGCUUCAUCAUCCAGUAGAUAGCGGCCCUCUCUUUGAAUUCUUUGGUCAUCAACUUCAAUAUUUGGGAUGUGAGAAAUGAAAGCCCAAUCCGCACCCUUUCUAUUUCCACAUGUUUCCUUCAAUUGGGGACAGUCAUUGAUAUUCAAUUCUCGUAACGAGGUGAGGGAACGCAUCUCUUGAGGCAGACACUUUAUUGCCGGACAAUACACAAUGGUUAGAUUUUGAAGACAAGUGAGAUUCCGCAGUCCAUCUGGAGGUAGAGAUUCGAGCUCUUUAAUGUCCAUAAUGCAAAGGUUCUUCAAUUUAGAGAGAGGAGGAAUGAUUGAGGAAGAAGAAGAGAUUGAUGGUGUGAAUAUUUGGUGCACAAGUUGUGGGCUUGCGUGCAGCAAUUCUAGUGAAUCAUCGAGAGAUGGAAACUGAGGGAUGGAGGUCAAAUUAGGGCAGACCUCACAAGAGAAAUAUGAAAGACAAGGAAAUUGGAGUAGCUCAAGAGCUGUCGAAUCAUCCCUCUUCUUCUGCCAUCCUUUAAGCUUAGGACAAAGAUAUAGCUUGAGAGUCUUUAGGGAUGGAAAGAAUGAUGUUGGUUGUCCCUCAAUCUCCAUGUAUUUUAAAUCAUCUACUCUCGAAAUCUCUAGAUAUUGAAGAGAAGGGAUUUGAUCCAUUGGUGGGAGAUGCUGAUAUCUCUUGCAAUCGCAUAUAGAGAGAUAGACAAGAUUCGUGAGGGAAGAGAACCAACUUGGGAACCUGCUGCCUCCAUAGCCAAGCACACGUAACUCUUUAAGAUUGGGAUGUGGUUGGAGAUUUUGGAAUGCCAUUUCAUCUCUAUCAACAUUUGAAUGUUCCCAACUCUCCUCCCAACGUAAUUCCAAUGAUUGAAGGAAACUUAAUAGUCAACAGUACUCACUGUUCGUGUCAGCUUGCGAUGUGUGUCAAAGGGUGAAGCUAGAGCACCAGAAGCCGGCGGGAAUGCUUAACCCACUGCCGAUUCCAGAGUGGAAAUGGGAGAAUAUCGCUAUGGACUUCAUAGUGGGGUUACCGGCAACGUCCAACAGAUUGGACUCCAUAUGGGUGAUUGUGGACAGACUCACCAAAUCUGCUCACUUCAUCCCUGUCAGGAGUGGCUAUUCUGUGGAUAAGCUGGCGCAGGUGUAUGUGGAUGAGAUUGUCAAGCUGCAUGGGGUUCCUGUUUCUACAGUGUCUGAUAGAGGGCCCCAGUUCACCUCCAGAUUUUGGCGGAGUCUGCAGAGUGCUAUGGGUACCAGAUUGGAUUUCAGUACUGCUUUCCAUCCACAGACUGACGGACAGUCAGAGAGGACCAUCCAGACGAUAGAGGACAUGCUCAGAAUGUGUGUGCUAGAUUUUGGCGGUUCUUAGAGGCAGCAUCUACCCUUGGUGGAGUUUGCCUACAAUAACAGCUAUCAUGCUAGCAUAGGGAUGGCCACAUAUGAAGCUUUGUAUGGGAAGAAGUGCAGAUCUCCUAUCUGCUGGGAAGAAGUGGGAGAAAGGACUCUUGCGGGUCCGGAGUUAGUAGAGCUUACCAGCAGGGUAGUGCCCAUAAUCAGAGAGAGGAUCAAGACUGCUGCUAGCCGGCAGAAGAGUUAUGCAGAUAUCCGCAGAAGACAGCUAGAGUUUCAGGAGGGGGAUUUGGUUUUGCUCAAGGUGUCUCCUAUGAAAGGGGUGGUUCGUUUUGGAAAGAAGGGUAAGUUAGCUCCACGGUAUAUCGGUCCUUUUGAGGUUCUCCAGAGGGUCGGAAAUGUAUCGUACAAGCUGGACUUGAGGUUCUAGAUCACUGUGGUCUGUGGCUCGUAUGCAACCCAAAUUUCUAGUUGACACCUGCAGAGACUCAAAGAAGAUAGAAAACAAAUUAGAGUAAUUCAAAUUUAAGUUGAUUUCUUUUGUUUUUUUAAUUAAUCCUUUGCCUGAGAUCUUUCAUCCGAUUGACUAAGAAUUAUCGGCAAAACCAACGAGAAUGAUAAAAAAGGCCUUCAGUGAGUACUGUUGACUAUUAAGUUUCAGAAAUUGGGAACAUUGUUGCCUUGAUUCACUUGUGUUCUCUCAGAAGAAUUAAAUCCAAGAUGUAAAUUCCCCUUCAGUACUAAGUUAAGAUCUUCCACUUCCAUUCCCUUGUAAGUUAGGAGUUUGACAAUUGAUUUUCCAAAAACACUAUCAAAACCUUUUCUGAAAAAGGAUAUUCCUUCAGAAAUAGAGUUGAGGAAGUCAUCCAGAAUUUCAUUAUUCUUGGCAUUCUUAUUGUAAAAGGAUCGAUAUGCAUCUCUUACAUCUUCUAUAGAAAUAUCCUUUCCAGCCAGUUGCAAAAGAAACACACGAUGAAAGGCAACACCUACUUGCACUUCAUGCAUCAAUGCCAAUGCAAUCACCUUACCAGAAAAUUCAAAACAGUCGUAAUGCAAGGGUUCCAACUUCAAUUCUGCAUAUAUAAUGAAUUAAAAAAUAAUGGAUCGUUACUCUAUAAUUUCUCUUUUCUACUCCUUCCUUCUUAUAUUCUUUAACAUAUAAACAUAUCUAUAUUAGGCAUAUAUCAAUCAUUUCUCAAGAAAAGAGAAAAUCAGGUAAAGUAAUAUAUUAUUAUGGAUGCCACUGACAACAAAUUAAGAUCAAAUUAAAAAGGUAGGAUAGUGCCUGCAAGUUGAUCCAAAUGAGCGUCCAACUGCUUAUGAGCUUUUGGAUCAUCCAUUUGUGAAGGAUAGUGGCUUUUAGCAUCUUUUUUCAAAUUUAGUGAACUCCCUGAAGUUUCUUCUUUAGCCUUAAUUGUGUGAACAUACACCUCUCAUAUUGCUUUCUAAGAGAAAAAGAAAGUCUAGUUAGGUCGUUUAUGAACUUGCAAUGAGUCAAAAUCAUUUUGUAACAUCAUAUUUUAAGUUUGGUACGUGUAUGCUGUGUUUUGAGUUGUAGCUGUUGAUUCUCCUAUGCUGCGUUUGUAAAAGACCGUUAGUCCUCAAUUUUGUUUGUAAUGAGUUUUUUCGUUCUCUCGCCUCAAAUACACGACACAUCGGACUUAACCGCUCAUUUAUCCAAUGUGAAUUAUCUUCAAUUAUAUAUACUGUUUUUGGAUUAAAAUGAUGAAAAGCAGUCAUGAAUCUAUGCAAACGACUGUAUGAUUCAUAUUUAUCCCUCACUUCGACUUGUAGGGUAGCAAUUUUUAUAUAUGGCUCCUGUUCAAUUAAUGCAAAUAUAAAUGAACAAAUAAAAUUUUCAUCCAAUUGGUUAUGGUUUUUUGUCAACUGAGAAUUUGUGCAUGUGUGCAACUCACUGUAUCUCGUAAUUUUCCAUAUAUCCUCCCCUUCUUUUUUGGAUGUUUGAAGCCUCCAUGCACACCCACUUUCUUUGUCUUUACACUUUAUAGAAUAAGUCUUCUCUCUUGUUGCAUGAUAACAAAAUUGAUGAUGAUAUUUUUUUGCAGCCGCAGCCACUGCAUCUCUUGAAAAAAUAUCAUCCAAACUGAAAAUUCUUUAGAAGGAUCCCAAAAGGAACGACCUUCUGGCCUAUCAUAAGGAUCCACUCUCAGCAAAUCGAAGUCUAUUUCUGCGUAUGGGGGAUGAUGAACAACAGACACAAUAGGAUUAGGAAAUUGUGUGUUGUAAUAUCGAGACUCACUCCCACUAUCUUCCUGACCAUUAUCAUCCUCAUCAUCCUCAGAAGACAUCCAUGAAUCAUCGUCAUCGUCAUCCUCGUUGUCAUUCUCUACUGCAUCAGAUAAAUUAAUUGAUGGCCCUGUAAGACUUUUAGAUAAACCAUAAUCAUCAACUACAUUUUGCUCUUCACAUGAAUCAUCAUUUGAUUCCACAGCAGUUUCAGAUUGACCAAUAUCAGCAUCCUCAUUUGUAGUAUCAACACAACGAAGUAUCUUAACAUAUAUUUCUAUACCAAGUAUACCACCAAUUUGAUACAAGUAAUUAAACAUACUAGAUACAUCAUCUUCACCCCAUAUCUCCAUACAUUAAAUUUUAAGGAUCCAUCCACAAUUGUAGACUUUCUAAAACUAAUUGUCUAUAAAUUCAUUAUUCUCGGAUAAUCCAAUUGCACAAGCAAUUUUACCGACCAAUUGAUUAAAACUUAUCUGUAUACCCAUUGGAAUAAUCUUUGAAAAACCUCCAUCAUAAUCGUAACCAUUACAACUAUUUAUAAUAUUAUCAUCCCAAUGAAUAUUAGUAUAUACAGGAACUGUCAUUUCUCUGAUAAAAAAAAAUAGAAUAAUAAAUAAUUUGAUCUCAAUUUACUAUAUACAUAAAAAAAAUAAAAAUUUAGAAUAUAAAAUAUUUAAAACUUACCUGCGUUUCUCUUUUUGUAGUCGAAUCGAUAAGAGUAGAUAUAAUAAUUUUGUGAAAUUUGUAGAGGAGAAUAAAUAGUUUAUAGAACGCAAUUUGUUGAGAUAUAAUGCAGAUUUUGAGUAAUUUAUAGAGUAGUGGGUGAGAUAAUUUAUAGAGAGAUCGGAAAGGGGCGAGCUAAAGUGAUUUAUAGAGUGGUGAGUGGGAUCAUUUAUAGAGAGGUGUGGGAGUAGUAGCCGUUGGCUAGUUCGGCAGUGAUGGUGCCGAACUAGCCGUUGCCGAACUUAUUGCUCCGUACAUGUAGACAAAGAAGCCACGGACUGCACAGGAGGAAUUAAUUGUACAAGAAUUUGUUCCACACCAUCACUGCCGAACAAAUUUCUGUGCAAUGAACCUGCAUGCAUGCACGGUCCUGCAGGUUCAGCUCUUCGGCACUAUAAGUGCCGAAGAGUUUUCUUCUUGUGCGUGUUCGGCACCUUGUGUGCCGAACACGUCAUGCUGGCAGCCACGGGAGCAGAUUACACUGCUCCGUGGCACGGAUCAGCUUGUUCGACACCAUGAGUGUCGAACAAGCUGAAAAACAUCAUGUUCGAUACCUAUAGUGUCGAAUAAUAGGAAGUUUGUACAGCCAUAUCUUUUAGUGUACCAUAGACACAAAGUGAGCAAUUUGAACAAUUUUAGAAUUUCAAUUCAAAUGUGUAUAUAUUUUCUUGUUUUAUUUCUUCCAAAAAUCUGCAAAUGAUGUUUUAUUGUUCUUUUUCUAAACAAAUCAUGUGACCAUAUUGUAAUAAUUUUGUUCAUUUAAUUUGUACAACACAGAAACAAUCUUUUACAAACACAGCACAGAAGAAUGAAGCACAACAUACACCAACCUUAAAACAUGAUGUUACAAAAUGAGCGAUUCACUGCAAGUUCAUGAAUAAAUCUGCUACCUUUUUUUUUUUUUUUCUGAAGGAAGUAAACGUGAACAAAAGCUCAUAAAACAUUGAACAUUUGUUCACACCAUUCAAGCUGAAAAGAAAUUUGAGAAAUGCUAACAGCCAGAAUCCUUCACAAACAGAUGAUUCAAAAGCUGAGAAGCAGUAGGACGCUUUUUUGGAUCAACUUGCAGGCACUUCAUGAUAAAAUCUCGCGCAUUCUCUGACAGAGAAUAAUUAGGAAGAUGAUUUCGAAGUGUCCCUUUUUCAACCUCCAAUUCUAGAUUUGCAUCCCAAUCAUUCACAUGAGAGUAUGGAUAAUUCCCAGUUAACAUCUCCAAGACAGUGCAGCCAAGGCUCCAAAUAUCAGCUUCAACUCCAUACUCUUUGUCCUUUUUCAUAACCUCUGGAGCUAUCCAGUCUAUUGUCCCAUGGCGAGACUUCAAAAGAGGAACUAAUUCUGUCACUUUUGCCAAUCCAAAAUCUGUAAUUUUCACGCAUCCUUUCUCAUCCACUAAUAUAUUUGCACAUUUGAUGUCUCUGUGAACUACCUUUCGCUCAUGGAGAUACUUCAAACCUUCUAGUAUCUGGUUGGUGUAGUAGGAGACUUGGGAGUCUUUCAAUUUAAAACUUUUAUAUACUUGUCGGAGGGAACCUGUGCUUACAAGCUCAAGAAAAAUAUAGACCCCUGACUUAUCCUCCUCAGUACCAUAGUAUUUGACUAUAUUUGGAUGACGUAAUUGACACAAUAAAUUAACUUCUUGCUGAAUUCUGUCAAUUUCUUGCUUAAUUUUGUCUUUGAUUCGUAUUUUCUUUACCGCGAAAAAGAAACCACCAUCUGCAUAUCCCUUGUACACGUUUCCAGAAAUCCCUCCUCCCAGAGUCUUCUUACGGUCCAUUCGCCACUCUGACUUGUUAAUAUUAAGUCCUUGUCUAUUAAUCUGCAAGUUAUUCAAUAUAUUUUCAACAUUAAAAAUUAAUAGAAUUGCAGUAGUACUCCUGGUUAUGCUAAUAAAUCUCACAAGAUUUCUUCUAAAAUAUUUGCAAUACCUGCAGUAAAAUCGUGAAAUUGCUAAAAGGUCAUAGAAAAAAAGUCCAGGAACCUACAUGAUUGCUUUAGAAAGACGACAAAACAAGCAAUUUAUUAACAAAGAAGAUUUCAGCAACUCAUGUAUUGUAUUUGAAAUUAGUCUUCGUAGCUGGAUAAGUACUGAAAACAUAUAGGAAACAACAGUUAUGUUAUGAUAACACUGAAAUUUUUGUAAGCGCGUACCUUCAGGAACUGAGACAUCAGAGGAUCACUCGCAUGUGUUAUCUCUCCAGAAAUAAAUUCAAGAUUUAAUUUUCCCUUUAGCACCAGGUUAAGAUCUUCAAGUUCUAUGCCCUUGAAAGAUAGCAGUUGGACGAUUGAUUUUCCAAAAACACUAUCAAAGCCUUUUCUGAAAAAGGAUAUUUGUUCAGAGAUAGAGUUGACUAAGUCAUUCCGAAUUUGAUCAUCAUCAAGAAAACAUUCCUUGGCCUUCUUAUUGUAAAAAGAAGGAUAUGCAUCUUUUACAUCUCCUAUAGAAAUAUCCUUUUCCGCCAGUUGAAAAAGAAACAUACGGUGAAAGGCAACACCUAUUUGUAGUUCAUGCAUCACUGCCAAUGCAAUCACCUUGCCAGAAAAUUCAAAACAGUCGAAGUGCAAUGGUUCCAGCUUCAGUUCUGCAUAUAUAACAUAUGACCAAAAACGGAAAAAGAAAAACUAUACUUAAAACGGGAUAUUAAUAAAUUUAAGAUAAAAAGGAUUUUUAUGGCAUAUUUCUCGUAUUAAAUGUAUUUUUAUUGGUUUACAUUAUGAUUAAAUUUAAAAAAUUUGCAGUUUUUUUUAAUAUGGAAAAAAUGUAAAAUCUAGAAAAAAAAAUAAUCGGAAUUAGUAGUCUUAGAAUCUAUUUGUACAAAAAUAAAAGAUAGAUUUAAUUUUUCGAGUGAUCUGAUCAUGCGGGGUAGUACAAGAAUAUUCACCUGUUGUCCAUCGACUACGCCCUUCAGCCUGAUCUUAGGCCUUGACUCACUUUUCGUGGACGAACCUUGCGGAGGAACCCUUAUAUCACAUGUUUCGUGAAUUUACAUAUAAUUUAGGUAAAAGUCAGAGAUGACAACUUAUUAGUAAAACUUUUUAUUGUACAUAUUAAUAAAUAUAAAUAAUCUUUUUAUUAUGCAUUUUGCGUCGAAUGUGUACGGUCAAUUUAUGCCAUCAUCUAUUAACUAUCUGUCAUACCCUAAAUACUUUCAUAUCUUAUUGUUUUAAUACCUAAUCGUAUUGUCUCACAUGUACAUAGCUAGCCGAAAGGAAUGAGAAGAAAAACUUAAAAAUCUUAUGCCAAGUCCAAUAUUGUAUGCUACAUGUCGUAAAUUAAUUAUAUGAUGAAGUUGUGACAUAAGGGUUAUAUCAAUCAUUUAUCAAGGGGAAAAAAAAAAUAGGAGAAGCAAUAAUUACGGAUGCUAUUCAUAGGAUCUUACCAGGAUUAGGGUAGAACUUCGUAGGAUCAUUUGGGCACGCCAAGAAAAGCAGAUUUUGCGGUUUGAAUAUAACUUGGCAUAACUUGUAUAACCAAUCCUGCAACUUUUUAGGACUGGUGAGCUUCUUAUUUUUCAAUGCUUCAAACAUCUCUUCGUCCAGAAAUCUAGACCAGUGAAUGAGUGGCUUGUAGAACUCUGCAUCAAGUAAUUUUUCCUCGGGGAUCAUCAUCAUGGUGACUAAGUGCAUCCUGGAUUCAGAAUCAAUCACAUCAUUGUGCUCAAGCAGCCAGUGAUAAUCAUCUUCUCUAGUAGUUGUUUCAAGUAUCAGUCGUAAUGAACUCUGCUGCCUCUUCAAUAAAAGCCGAAACUGCUCCCUUUCACUCUCCCAUAGUUGAGAAAUGCUAUUCAAUUCUUUCAAAAUGUCCAGAUAUAAAUGCGAAACAGAACACAAACAACCACUUGUUUCGAAUAGUUCUGCUGUUAAUAGUAAACCAUGAAGAUGACCCUCCAUGUCUGUAGACAGGUGAUUGAAUGCUUCUUUAGUUGGGACUGAAAACCAUGUCAAUGUUUCUUCAUCGUCACCGUCUAUAUAGCCAAUUGCAUUGCGCACUACACAUGAAAAUGCCUGAAAUUCACCAAAAAGAAAUUUCAAUGAAUCAAUGUGUGAACUUGGAUUUGAUACGCGGAUCUGAACCAAACCCUUGCAUAAUGUGCUUGUCAUCUCAUAAAGGAAAGAACAAAUUGUCAGCACUGUUUCUGGCUCCUCAAAGAGUUUGAUCUUAAAUCUACUUCUUUCCACCAACUGUUUGAGAGAAGUCCGACAUGACUGAUACAGAGGAUCUUCAUUAGUUACUUGAUGUCGAAGUAAUUUACAGAAUUCUAAAGCCAAUAGUCUACAUUCUGGAAGAAAAUCAUCUGGACGAUUCAAUAAAUAAUGCAUGGAAGACAAUAUCAAAGCUCUAGCAUAGGCUUUCUGUUGUUUAAUUCUUGACCUGUAAAACAUAACCAAAGUCGCAGGGACAGAAUACGCAAUCAGAAGAAGCUCUGAUUGCUCGUUUCUUUCAGGUGCCAACAGUGCAAACAUCUUAUGCGCUAGUGGACAGUAAUCUAUCCGCGAGACAGAUUUCUCUCGGUACAUUCGACAAAUGGUCGAACUGAUUUGGUGGAUCAUUUGAAAAAGUUCCGAUUCGCCGUCGAGUUCAACCACCAAUUUGAGCCAAGCUUUGUUUUGAAUUGAGCAGUCUUCAAGCGUCUUAUUCCACUCUAGCUUCUCACCUUUGUAAUAUAAUUUCUGUUGCGUAACUGGAAUUUUGGAGAUCACCAGGAUUUUCUGCUGGAUAAAUUGUACUUCAAAAUUGGAUUUCACAAGAAUUUUUAUAGGUUUACGUUUCGGCAUUCUGACAAAUAAAUGAAAGGAAUUGGAUUCACUAUUCGCCAUCAGCUCUAGAUCACUGUGGUCUGUGGCUCGUAUGCAACCCAAAUUUCUAGUUGACACCUGCAGAGACUCAAAGAAGAUAGAAAACAAAUUAGAGUAAUUCAAAUUUAAGUUGAUUUCUUUUGUUUUUUUAAUUAAUCCUUUGCCUGAGAUCUUUCAUCCGAUUGACUAAGAAUUAUCGGCAAAACCAACGAGAAUGAUAAAAAAGGCCUUCAGUGAGUACUGUUGACUAUUAACUCUUCAGUGAGUACUGUUGACUAUUAAGUUUCCAACAUCCUUUGAGGAAAUAUGCCCUUUUGCCACUACGAACAGUGACAACGUCUGAAGUGAACUCAACUGCCCAAGCCCACGUGGCAUAUGAGUCAAAGAGAAACAACCUUGACAAUACAAAUGCCUAAGAUUCACAAGCUUUUUAAUAUCUUUAGGCAAUUCUUUGAGGUUGUAACAAGAAGAGACAUUUAAUACUUGUAAAUUCAGCAAAUCCGUAAUAGAAUUUGGAAGUGCUAUAAGACUCUCUAUAUUAGAAACAUUAAGAUAUCUUAAAUAUUUUAGCAUUUUUAUAGAGCUAUCCAUCAUAUUUAUUCCACAUGAAUACAUCCUAAAUACACGCAAAAAUUUUAAAUUAUGCAAAAAUUUUAAAUUUUUAUGAAUAAAUAGCCAAUCAUGAUCAUGUUUCCUAAGCAGACCAUGAUCAUGUUUCCUAUUCAGAAAUAACGAUCGUAUUCUUUUUGCGUUAUUAAGAAUUUCUUGUGGUGCAACAUCAAAAUUCAACGCUACAUGAUGGGUUUUCUCAUCAAUAUUUGGUGCAUCAGAAUUUAUCAGCUGAAUUCUCUUUCCACCCACUGUGGUUGCGAGAUCGUGCAUUAAAUCAUGCAUUUUACAGCUUUCAACAUUUCCACAUCUAUCUCUUUCCACCUCUUGAAAAAAUGACCUCCACCACAGUUUCAUAAAAUAUUCAAGCCCAAUAUCUUCAAGACAAUCACUCGUACUUGGUGACUCAAUAAACCCUUGUGCAAUCCAAAGAUGGAUUAAUAUUUUCACAUUAAUCACAGAAUCUUUUAGAUAUAUUGCGCAAUAUGCAAAACAAUGCUUCAAAUGUGAUGGGAGAUGAUCAUAACUUAGCUUCAGUGUUGGCAUAAUAUCAUUACCAUCUUGACUUAUUCUUGAGAGUUCUUUUGUUAAAAAGGGCAGCCACUCAGUUUGUGGAUUUUUCGCAUACAAGAGACUUGCAAUAGUUUUUAUUGCAAGAGGAACUCCACGACAUUUCUUCAAAAUCUCCUUUCCCAUCUCUCUUACAUUUGCAUGUUUUGGCUCCUGCCCCUCAAGUGCUACAUGCAAAAACAAAGACCAAGACUCAUCCGGAGACAACCCUUCCAAAACAUGUGGUGCCAUUGUGCUAGACAUAUCUGCCACCUUUUUAGAGCGAGUGGUUAUUAAUAUCUUACUUCCACUAGAGCCACCCACUAAUAAUCUCUUUAAAUUCUCCCAUUUUUCUCUAUUCUCAUUCCACACAUCAUCUAGAACAAGCAGAUAUUUCUUCCCACUAAUAAUUUUUUCCAGUCUAGACUUCAAUGCUUCUAACCCAAGAUCUUCCGAUCUAUUCCCUGUUGCAGACUCUAGAAUCUUUCCAACAGUCAUUUUCACAUCAAAAGGUUCUGAAACACACACCCAUAUUCUUGGCUCAAAUGAAUUCUUAAUCAAUUCAUCAUUGAAUAUGAUUUGAGCAAGAGUGGUCUUCCCUAAUCCUCCAAUUCCAACAAUUGAGAGGACUGAAACACACUCUUCACCAUUGGAAGACAAUACAAGUUCUGUAAUUGCCUUUUUGUCACCCUCUCUCCCAAUAAUCACUUCAGGUAAAGAGGACGUAGUUUGAUCCCUCCAUACAAUACUCUCCUGAUCAGUACGAACCUCUAAAUUAAAUUUUCUGUCAGCUUCAAUAUCAGCUAGCCUCUCCCUAAUCGCCUUAACUUUAUGACCCAUUUUAAAACCAUAAACAAGUUGAUUUGAAGACGAAAAGAAGAGACUUACCUCCUUUGUCAUUCUAUUUCCAGUCAUCACUCGGCGCCUUAGAGCUUCUGUGGCGAAGUCAUCUACCAAGUCAUCAGCAUCAUAAACAACUUCUUCUAGCCUCUCAAGCCAGCCUUUCACUUGACGGUUAAGUUUCUGCUGCUCCUCAGCAUCCAGAAGAACGUUGCGAAUACUAGAAACUGUGGCCUCAAGUUUCUUAAGCUCACCUUUGACGCCCCACCACAAUCCGAUCUCAUGAAGGGCUCGAGAACCCAGCUUGGUAAUGAUAUCUCUGACAACGUUAGAGAGAACUCCGUCGGCCAUUUUGGGUGUUUUGGUUUGGUUGUAAAAGGAUGAAAUGUUGCUGUGAAGAAGAAGAUACCGACAACAAAUGACUAAUUUAAAGAAAAAAAGAAGCGGAGGAAAAAGCAUCUUCUAAAUGAUUAUGUUCGGUCGGUCAGCUUUUUGGAGGGCC